UACGAGAGGUCCAAACGUUAUUCGGAAUCACUGGGCUUACAGAGUUCGUAGGCGGUCCAGAAAGUGGGGUGUGAAAGCCCUCGGCUCAACCGAGGAACUGCGCUCCAAACUACUGGGCUAGAGGAAGAUAGAGGUGAGCAGAACUGAUGGUGGAGCGGUGAAAUGCGUUGAUAUCAUUAGGAAUACCGGAGGCGAAGGCGGCUCACUGGGUCUUUUCUGACGCUGAGGAACGAAAGCUAGGGGAGCAAACGGG
rnacentral:rRNA from 1 species